GACGAACGCUGGCGGCGUGCUUAACACAUGCAAGUCGAACGGAAAGGCCCCUUUGGGGGUACUCGAGUGGCGAACGGGUGAGUAACACGUGAGUAACCUGCCCUUGACUUCGGGAUAACUUCAGGAAACUGGGGCUAAUACCGGAUAGGAAUCCUUGCUGCAUGGUGGGGGUUGGAAAGCUUCGGCGGGUUUGGAUGGACUCGCGGCUUAUCAGCUUGUUGGUGGGGUAGUGGCUUACCAAGGCUUUGACGGGUAGCCGGCCUGAGAGGGCGACCGGCCACACUGGGACUUAGGGAAGGCCCCGGCUGCUACGGGGGGCCGAAGGGGGGAAUAUUGCACCAUGGGCGGGAGGCGGAUGCAGAAAGGCCGCGGGCGGGAAGACGGCCUUCGGGUUGAAAACCGCUUUCAGCAGGGGCGAAGCUUGUGGUGACGGUACCUGCAGAAGAAGCACCGGCUAACUACGUG
rnacentral:rRNA from 1 species